GCCUCUGAGCAGAUCUGUGCUCCUAUGCAAAGCUGCACUUUCAUUUCCCCAGUGGCUCAGCCUGGAUAUUGAUCACGAGGUAUCACCCUCAGACACCUACACAGUGAGCCCAGAAAUGCUCAGCAGGUAACCAUGUCUAACACACAAAUAACCCCAGCCAGAGUGCUGCUCUCAGAGGACACAGCAGGGCCCCAAAGCCUGAAUCAGCUCCACCUCUGUGCCAUCUCCCCCACCCAGAUUCCUCUCCAGGAUGGUCCUACAGCAGAGCAGGACUUGCAUUAUGCCCCAUUCCAGCAAUCAGAUCAGUGCACGCAGAUCUCAGCCCAGGCAGCGUCCCGCUCACUCCAGAGGUCUCAGGCCAAGGAUCCAGCUGCAGGAGGGACCUCAGCUGUGAGCUCCAACAUCCAUGCACCAAACUGGGUCUUAAGUGUUUACAAGGCAAUGCAGCUGACACCUCCCUUUCCUCUUUGGGCUUGGUUGGUUUUAUAUGUUCGAUAAUCCCUCAUCCUUUUUUUUUUUUUUCCUUACCUCAUCUUUUAUAUUAAAUCGUGACGGUUCUUGUCUGCUUCGGUUUGACCUCCUAACCCCAUAAACAUCAGGAUAUUCUUCCCACAUCUGCAAAAUAAACAGACCAUCAGAAGGCCUGCUUCACCCCAAUUAUUUUUGACAUUUUAGAGAAGUUUGAUGGUGGCUUAAAAAUAUAUAAACCAGAAACCAUUAGGGAAUUAGCAACCAGCAGAUGGACAGUUUAAAAAACUGGCUGAAAAGGAUUAUUAUUAUUUUGGGAUAUUUGACAGCUCUCUAAAGGAGCAUGUGUUUAUCUCAGUGUUAUCUUUACAGUGGUCCAUCUUUCCACUGAGGUACAAAUCACUCUCCAGCUCUCUCAGGCUGAAGGACAGAGUGUUGAGGUAACCAGCCCUCUGCAGCACUGGUGCCAAACGAAUGAAGGCAAUACCUUCAACAUGGAAUGAGCAGACCUACCAACUCAACAGGGCACUUCUCUGUCACUAACAGCUUCCAGCAUAAUUCCUUUCCUGGUGGAAAGCCCCACCAGCUGCCUGGAGACACGGCCAGCUGCAGCUUCAAAGGUGAAUUCUGUGGCCCAGUCUGGAUGGCAAAUGGAGCAAGAUACCCUGUCAUUUGGCAAGGCAAGGCAGUGGCCGCUGGCUCCUCUCCCAAAUGCACUGAUGGGAAUGUGGUUUGGCAGCACAGGACACAUGGAUGUGCAGAGGUGACUGCUGGCCAUGGUUGUGCUCUUUGCUGUAAAAGGAGGCCCUCACCAGUUCAACACACCGUGUAUAAGAGCAUGCAAUUGUUCUUGUGAAUGGGCAGGAGAAGGGGACACAAAAACAGAUGCCCUGAGGGGGAUGAAUGCAGAGCUUGUGUUGGUGACACAGGACACAAGAAUUGCAGGGCAGACACAAUCCACCACCAUGCCCCUCGAAUUCCUACACCAGCAAUUCCUCUCUCCCUCAGCAGACCUCUUAGUUCUCUACAUCUAUUCAUUUCCUUCUGAUUCUCUCUCCCUCCAAUCCUUAAAUAUCUCUGCAAGCCACUGGAAGGGAAAGGAGAUCAAACUAUGCUGCCAGAUGCAGCAGUGAUGGGAUUGAGAGCGUGAUGGAUACGAGGCUGCAGCCCAGGAAUUUUUCUGCCUCUGUUAAAGGAGUAAUGGGAAAAGGGACAGACUGUGACAGUGUACAUCUAUUGGGCAUGCAAGUACUGAGGUAUAUUCUCAUUAAAGAAUAAACCCUCAAAUUUAAUGCUCCCCAAACCAUUUGAAGAACUUGUCUUUUUAUCUAUUAAAUGGCAUGGGUUUUGAAUGUGGGAGCAACUUCCAUGAUAAAUCUUAAUAGCACCUGACACAGAUUAACCUCACCUUCAUGGGUGUAUCUA